GGGGGAGCUACAAUGCAGUCGAGCGGAUGAAGGGAGCUUGCUCCUGGAUUCAGCGGCGGACGGGUGAGUAAUGCCUAGGAAUCUGCCUGGUAGUGGGGGAUAACGUCCGGAAACGGGCGCUAAUACCGCAUACGUCCUGAGGGAGAAAGUGGGGGAUCUUCGGACCUCACGCUAUCAGAUGAGCCUAGGUCGGAUUAGCUAGUUGGUGGGGUAAAGGCCUACCAAGGCGACGAUCCGUAACUGGUCUGAGAGGAUGAUCAGUCACACUGGAACUGAGACACGGUCCAGACUCCUACGGGAGGCAGCAGUGGGGAAUAUUGGACAAUGGGCGAAAGCCUGAUCCAGCCAUGCCGCGUGUGUGAAGAAGGUCUUCGGAUUGUAAAGCACUUUAAGUUGGGAGGAAGGGCAGUAAGUUAAUACCUUGCUGUUUUGACGUUACCAACAGAAUAAGCACCGGCUAACUUCGUGCCAGCAGCCGCGGUAAUACGAAGGGUGCAAGCGUUAAUCGGAAUUACUGGGCGUAAAGCGCGCGUAGGUGGUUCAGCAAGUUGGAUGUGAAAUCCCCGGGCUCAACCUGGGAACUGCAUCCAAAACUACUGAGCUAGAGUACGGUAGAGGGUGGUGGAAUUUCCUGUGUAGCGGUGAAAUGCGUAGAUAUAGGAAGGAACACCAGUGGCGAAGGCGACCACCUGGACUGAUACUGACACUGAUGUGCGAAAGCGUGUGGAGCAAACACGAUUAGAUACCCUGGUAGUCCACGCCGUAAACGAUGUCCACUAGCCGUUGGGAUCCUUGAGAUCUUAGUGGCGCAGCUAACGCGAUAAGUCAACCGCCUGGGGAGUACGGCCUCAAGGUUAAAACUCAAAUGAAUUGACUCGCAGCCCGCACAACCGGGAGUAGCAUGUCGUUUUAAUUCGAACCAACUACGAAGAACCUUUACCUCGACCUUAGUCAUGAUUAACAACUUUCCACCAUAUGGAUUAGCUGCCGUUCGGGGAACUCAAAACUCAAGCGGCUGCAUUGUCUGGCUUGCAACUCGUUGUCCCUGACAAUGGUAGGGAUCAUGUCCCCGCCAACCAAGCCGCA
rnacentral:rRNA from 1 species